CUACGGGCGGCUGCAGUGAGGAAUAUUGCACAAUGGGGGGAACCCUGAUGCAGCAACGCCGCGUGGAGGAUGACGCAUUUCGGUGUGUAAACUCCUUUUAUAUGUCAAGAAAAUGACGGUAGCAUAUGAAUAAGCACCGGCUGAACUCCGUGCCAGCAGCCGCGGUAAUACGGAGGGUGCAAGCGUUACUCGGAAUCACUGGGCGUAAAGGACGCGUAGGCGGGUUGGAAAGUCAGGUGUGAAAUCCUACAGCUUAACUGUAGAACUGCACUUGAAACUUCUAAUCUAGAGUAUGGGAGGGGGAGAUAGAAUUAGUGGUGUAGGGGUAAUAUCCGUAGAUAUCACUAGGAAUACCUAAAGCGAAGGCGAUCUCCUGGAACAUUACUGACGCUAAGGCGUGAAAGCGUGGGGAGCAAACAGGAUUAGAUACCCUCGUAGUC
rnacentral:rRNA from 1 species